rnacentral:rRNA from 1 species
GCUGGAGCGAAUAGAAGUGAGCAUGCAGGCAUGAGUAGCGAUAAUUAAUGUGAGAAUCAUUAACGCCGUAAACCCAAGGUUUCCUACGCGAUGCUCGUCAUCGUAGGGUUAGUCGGGUCCUAAGUCGAGUCCGAAAGGGGUAGACGAUGGCAAAUUGGUUAAUAUUCCAAUACCAACAUUAGUGUGCGAUGGAAGGACGCUUAGGGCUAAGGGGGCUAGCGGAUGGAAGUGCUAGUCUAAGGUCGUAGGAGGUUAUACAGGCAAAUCCGUAUAACAAUACUCCGAGAACUGAAAGGCUUUUUGAAGUCUUCGGAUGGAUAGAAGAACCCCUGAUGCCGUCGAGCCAAGAAAAGUUUCUAAGUUUAGCUAAUGUUGCCCGUACCGUAAACCGACACAGGUGGGUGGGAUGAGUAUUCUAAGGCGCGUGGAAGAACUCUCUUUAAGGAACUCUGCAAAAUAGCACCGUAUCUUCGGUAUAAGGUGUGGUUAGCUUUGUAUUAGGAUUUACUCCGAAAGCAAGGAAACUUACAACAAAGAGUCCCUCCCGACUGUUUACCAAAAACACAGCACUCUGCUAACUCGUAAGAGGAUGUAUAGGGUGUGACGCCUGCCCGGUGCUCGAAGGUUAAUUGAUGGGGUUAGCAUUAGCGAAGCUCUUGAUCGAAGCCCGAGUAAACGGCGGCCGUAACUAUAACGGUCCUAAGGUAGCGAAAUUCCUUGUCGGUUAAAUACCGACCUGCAUGAAUGGCGUAACGAGAUGGGAGCUGUCUCAAAGAGGGAUCCAGUGAAAUUGUAGUGGAGGUGAAAAUUCCUCCUACCCGCGGCAAGACGGAAAGACCCCGUGGACCUUUACUACAGCUUGACACUGCUACUUGGAUAAGAAUGUGCAGGAUAGGUGGGAGGCUUUGAGUAUAUGACGCCAGUUGUAUAUGAGCCAUUGUUGAGAUACCACUCUUUCUUAUUUGGGUAGCUAACCAGCUUGAGUUAUCCUCAAGUGGGACAAUGUCUGGUGGGUAGUUUGACUGGGGCGGUCGCCUCCCAAAUAAUAACGGAGGCUUACAAAGGUUGGCUCAGAACGGUUGGAAAUCGUUCGUAGAGUAUAAAGGUAUAAGCCAGCUUAACUGCAAGACAUACAAGUCAAGCAGAGACGAAAGUCGGUCUUAGUGAUCCGGUGGUUCUGUGUGGAAGGGCCAUCGCUCAAAGGAUAAAAGGUACCCCGGGGAUAACAGGCUGAUCUCCCCCAAGAGCUCACAUCGACGGGGAGGUUUGGCACCUCGAUGUCGGCUCAUCGCAUCCUGGGGCUGGAGCAGGUCCCAAGGGUAUGGCUGUUCGCCAUUUAAAGCGGUACGCGAGCUGGGUUCAGAACGUCGUGAGACAGUUCGGUCCCUAUCUGCCGUGGGCGUAAGAAGAUUGAAGAGAUUUGACCCUAGUACGAGAGGACCGGGUUGAACAAACCACUGGUGUAGCUGUUGUUCUGCCAAGAGCAUCGCAGCGUAGCUAAGUUUGGAAAGGAUAAACGCUGAAAGCAUCUAAGCGUGAAGCCAACUCUAAGAUGAAUCUUCUCUAAGCUCUCUAGAAGACUACUAGUUUGAUAGGCUGGGUGUGUAAUGGAUGAAAGUCCUUUAGCUGACCAGUACUAAUAGAGCGUUUGGCUUAUCUUU